AGAGGCCUGGCGUUCAGGAAAGGGCCCGCUGACCAUCCAGUGCAGGGAAAGGAGUCCAGCUCUGGCCUCUGCCCCUCAGCUCCACCUCCUGCAUUCCUAGGAGUUCUCCAGAGGAUCUGAUGGGAGCUCAGAACCGGUCCCAACAGCUCCCUCCACCCUUCAUGAACGGGGGCUGGAAAAUGUGGUCUGCUCUGAUAAGGAUUUGCGUCAGGCUACUGGCUACUCAGCAGCCGAGAAGAGCAAGCCUCCAGGCCUCUGCACGCGUGCCUUCUGCCCGGUGAGCCUCUCACUAUCGUCCUUCUAAAAGACACUUCAAAAAGAGGCAAAAUCAUG
rnacentral:lncRNA from 1 species